rnacentral:rRNA from 1 species
UACGUAGGGUGCAAGCGUUGUCCGGAAUUAUUGGGCGUAAAGAGCUCGUAGGCGGUCUGUCGCGUCGGCUGUGAAAACCCGGGGCUCAACCCCGGGCCUGCAGUCGAUACGGGCAGACUAGAGUGCGGUAGGGGAGACUGGAAUUCCCGGUGUAGCGGUGAAAUGCGCAGAUAUCAGGAAGAACACCCGUGGCGAAGGCGGCUCUCUGGGACGGUACUGACGCUGAGACGCGAAAGCGUGGGGAGCGAACAGG